AACGAACGCUGGCGGCAUGCCUAACACAUGCAAGUCGAACGAGACCUUCGGGUCUCGUGGCGCACGGGUGCGUAACGCGUGGGAACCUGCCCUUAGGUUCGGAAUAACUCCCCGAAAGGGGUGCUAAUACCGGAUAAUGUCUUCGGACCAAAGAUUUAUCGCCUUUGGAUGGGCCCGCGUUGGAUUAGCUAGUUGGUAGGGUAAAAGCCUACCAAGGCGACGAUCCAUAGCUGGUCUGAGAGGAUGAUCAGCCACACUGGGACUGAGACACGGCCCAGACUCCUACGGGAGGCAGCAGUGGGGAAUAUUGGACAAGGGGCGAAAGCCUGAUCCAGCAAUGCCGCGUGAGUGAUGAAGGCCUUAGGGUUGUAAAGCUCUUUUACCCGGGAUGAUAAUGACAGUACCGGGAGAAUAAGCGCCGGCUAACUCCGUG
rnacentral:rRNA from 1 species